AGCGAACGCUGGCGGCAGGCCUAACACAUGCAAGUCGAACGAAGUCUUCGGACUUAGUGGCGGACGGGUGAGUAACACGUGGGAACGUGCCUUUAGGUUCGGAAUAACUCAGGGAAACUUGUGCUAAUACCGAAUGUGCCCUUCGGGGAAAGAUUCAUCGCCUUUAGAGCGGCCCGCGUCUGAUUAGCUAGUUGGUGAGGUAAUGGCUCACCAAGGCUACGAUCAGUAGCUGGUCUGAGAGGAUGACCAGCCACAUUGGGACUGAGACACGGCCCAAACUCCUACGGGAGGCAGCAGUGGGGAAUCUUGCGCAAUGGGCGAAAGCCUGACGCAGCCAUGCCGCGUGGAUGAUGAAGGUCUUAGGAUUGUAAAAUCCUUUCACCGGUGAAGAUAAUGACUGUAGCCGGAGAAGAAGCCCCGGCUAACUUCGUGCCAGCAGCCGCCGUAACAC
rnacentral:rRNA from 1 species